rnacentral:rRNA from 1 species
AUUGAACGCUGGCGGCAGGCCCAACACAUGCAAGUCGAACGGUAGCACAGAGAGCUUGCUCUCGGGUGACGAGUGGCGGACGGGUGAGUAAUGUCUGGGAAACUGCCCGAUGGAGGGGGAUAACUACUGGAAACGGUAGCUAAUACCGCAUAACGUCGCAAGACCAAAGUGGGGGACCUUCGGGCCUCACACCAUCGGAUGUGCCCAGAUGGGAUUAGCUAGUAGGUGGGGUAAUGGCUCACCUAGGCGACGAUCCCUAGCUGGUCUGAGAGGAUGACCAGCCACACUGGAACUGCGACACGGUCCAGACGCCUACGGGAGGCAGCAGUGGGGAAUAUUGCACAAUGGGCGCAAGCCUGAUGCAGCCAUGCCGCGUGUAUGAAGAAGGGCUUCGGGUUGUAAAGUACUUUCAGCGGGGAGGAAGGCGGUGAAGUUAAUAGCUUCACCGAUUGACGUUACCCGCAGAAGAAGCACCGGCUAACUCCGUGCCAGCAGCCGCCGUAA